UACGUAGGUGGCAAGCGUUACUCGGAAUCACUAGGCGUAAAGCGCAGGUAGGAGGUUUGGUAAGUCUGUUGUGAAAGCUCCCGGCUUAACUGGGAGAGGUCAACGGAAACUACUAGGCUAGAGUGCGGUAGAGGUAGCUGGAAUUCCUGGUGUAGCGGUGAAAUGCGCAGAUAUCAGGAGGAACACCCGUGGCGAAGGCGGCUCUCUGGGCCUGACCUGACGCUGAGGAGCGAAAGCUAGGGGAGCAAACGGG
rnacentral:rRNA from 1 species